GUUUUUCUGAAACAAAUACAAAUACGAGGUGGGUAAUUUGUAUUGCUUAUGAUUUAUUUUAACAGUGACAUAGCUCAUCGCAUUGCUCCAGGCCAGUGGACAGUCAAGUUUGGUAGAGACAUCAAGGGUUUUCAUCACCAAACCACUGGAAAUAAUUGUGGUAUCUACAUACUUAUGAAUGCACUCAGCCUGAGCACAGAUGCUCCAUUUUGGUGUACUGAGAGAGACAUGGCACACAUCAGGAAAUGGUGGUGCAUUAAUUUGAUGGAACGGUUCCAGAUUGAUGGGUAAGACAACUUUAAAUGUAACUUCCUACACAACAUUAGUUAUACAUUAGUUAACCUUUUUUUUUCUGUCACUGUCACUCGAAAGCCACGGACAGAGGUUUGCAUACUGGACAAAUGAGGCCACAGCAUUGCUCCAAGGAUCAUUGCAGCCGAUCUACAGGAUCCCGAAGAUCAGAAAAA
ensembl:lncRNA